UGCAGCAACGCCGCGUGAGGGACGAAGGCCUUCGGGUUGUAAACCUCUUUUAGUAGGGAAGAAGCGACUGGGUUUUCCUGGGAGUGACGGUACCUGCAGAAAAAGCACCGGCUAACUACGUGCCAGCAGCCGCGGUAAUACGUAGGGUGCAAGCGUUGUCCGGAAUUAUUGGGCGUAAAGAGCUCGUAGGCGGUUUGUCGCGUCUGCUGUGAAAACCCGAGGCUCAACCUCGGGCCUGCAGUGGGUACGGGCAGACUAGAGUGCGGUAGGGGAGAUUGGAAUUCCUGGUGUAGCGGUGGAAUGCGCAGAUAUCAGGAGGAACACCAAUGGCGAAGGCAGAUCUCUGGGCCGUAACUGACGCUGAGGAGCGAAAGCAUGGGGAGCGAACAGGAUUAGAUACCCUGGUAGUCCAUGCCGUAAACGUUGGGAACUAGAUGUGGGGACCAUUCCACGGUCUCCGUGUCGCAGCUAACGCAUUAAGUUCCCCGCCUGGGGAGUACGGCCGCAAGGCUAAAACUCAAAGGAAUUGACGGGGGCCCGCACAAGCGGCGGAGCAUGCGGAUUAAUUCGAUGCAACGCGAAGAACCUUACCAAGGCUUGACAUAUACCGGAAACGGCUGGAAACAGUCGCCCCGCAAGGUUGGUAUACAGGUGGUGCAUGGUUGUCGUCAGCUCGUGUCGUGAGAUGUUGGGUUAAGUCCCGCAACGAGCGCAACCCUCGUCCUAUGUUGCCAGCACGUAAUGGUGGGAACUCAUGGGAUACUGCCGGGGUCAACUCGGAGGAAGGUGGGGAUGACGUCAAAUCAUCAUGCCCCUUAUGUCUUGGGCUUCACGCAUGCUACAAUGGCCGGUACAAAGGGCUGCGAUACCGCAAGGUGGAGCGAAUCCCAAAAAGCCGGUCUCAGUUCGGAUUGAGGUCUGCAACUCGACCUCAUGAAGUCGGAGUCGCUAGUAAUCGCAGAUCAGCAACGCUGCGGUGAAUACGUUCCCGGGCCUUGUACACACCGCCAUCCAUAU
rnacentral:rRNA from 1 species